rnacentral:tRNA from 1 species
ACUUAAAUAGUUUAAUAAAAAUAUUGAUUUGUGGUGUCAAAGAUAUGAGUUCAUUUUAAGUU